AUGAGCUCUACAACAGUAGAACUGUACAUAAAAGAGAGAGGGGAGAGAACAAAAUCCCCAUGGGGAUGUUUCUUGAGCAGGCAGGAGAGGAUACAUCAGCUUCAGAGGUUCUUCUUGGCCCCCACUGAAGCACUCACUCACAGACAUGACACAUACAUACACAAGUCUGUCUCUCUGUCUAGCUCUCUCUCCCCCUCUCUUUUUCCUGAAUCCUCCCCUCACCCAUGCCUGCCGCCGUACAUCAAAUGGUGUUUCUGGAAGACAAAAAGGGGAGAAAACAAGAAAAAGAAAAGGGGCGAUGAAUGGAUGGAUGGAUGGGUGGAUGGAAGAUUGACUGGGGAACAAGGGAUCUCCCCACUUCCUCUCUUUUCCUUCCACGGGUCAAUUCAAACCUGUCACUUGGUGCAUAGCAGCAGUAGUAGCCUGGUGGUGGUGGUAGUAAACUUGUUCCACUUGUUCAGCUCAUGCAAAGAAAGUACUGACCAGUUGCUGGGAACUGGAGACACGGCGGCGUAG
rnacentral:rRNA from 1 species